UAUGGCCAUGUCAUGUUGAAACACCAGUUCUUGUACGAUCACCAAAGUUAAGCAAUUUUUAGCCUGGUCAGUAUCUAGAUGGAUGACCACUUGGGAAUGUCAAGUGCUGUAA
rnacentral:rRNA from 1 species